CAGCAGCCGCGGUAAUACCGGCGGCCCGAGUGGCGGUCACUAUUAUUGGGCUUAAAGCGUCCGUAGCCGGGUUGGGAAGGCCUCCGGGAAAUCUGGCCGCUUAAAGGUCAGAAUGCCGGAGGAUACUCCCAGCCUAGGGAGCGGGAGAGGCCGAGGGGAUUCCCGGAGGAGGGGGGAAAUCCUAUAAUCCCGGGAGGACCACCUGUGGCGAAGGCGCUCGGCUGGAACGCGUCCGACGGUGAGGGACGAAGGCCAGGGGAGCAAACCGGAUUAGAUACCCGGGUAGUCCUGGCUGUAAACGAUGCGGACUUUGUGUCGGACAAGCUAUGAGCUUGUCCGGUGCCGGAGGGAAACCGUUAAGUCCGCCGCCUGGGGAGUACGGCCGCAAGGCUGAAACUUAAAGGAAUUGGCGGG
rnacentral:rRNA from 1 species